UAAUCCUACGGGAGGCAGCAGUGGGGAAUAUUGCACAAUGGGGGAAACCCUGACGCAGUGACGCCGCGUAUAGGAAGAAGGUUUUCGGAUUGUAAACUAUUGUCGUGAGGGAAGAAAUUGACAGUACCUCAGGAGGAAGCUCCGGCUAACUAUGUGCCAGCAGCCGCGGUAAUACAUAGGGAGCAAGCGUUAUCCGGAUUUAUUGGGUGUAAAGGGUGCGUAGAUGGGAAAUUAAGUUAGUUGUGAAAUCCCUCGGCUUAACUGAGGAACUGCAACUAAAACUGGUUUUCUUGAGUACUGGAGAG
rnacentral:rRNA from 1 species